rnacentral:rRNA from 1 species
CCUACGGGAGGCAGCAGUGGGGAAUAUUGCACAAUGGGCGCAAGCCUGAUGCAGCCAUGCCGCGUGUGUGAAGAAGGCCUUCGGGUUGUAAAGCACUUUCAGCGGGGAGGAAGGCGGUGAGGUUAAUAACCUCAUCGAUUGACGUUACCCGCAGAAGAAGCACCGGCUAACUCCGUGCCAGCAGCCGCGGUAAUACGGAGGGUGCAAGCGUUAAUCGGAAUUACUGGGCGUAGAGCGCACGCGGGCGGUCUGUCAAGUCGGAUGUGACAUCCCCGGGCUCAACCUGGGAACUGCAUUCGAAACUGGCAGGCUAGAGUCUUGUAGAGGGCGGUAGAAUUCCAGGUGUAGCGGUGAAAUGCGUAGAGAUCUGGAGGAAUACCGGUGGCGAAGGCGGCCCCCUGGACAAAGACUGACGCUCAGGUGCGAAAGCGUGGGGAGCAGACAGGAUUAGAUACCCGAGUAGUC